rnacentral:lncRNA from 1 species
AGUUACCAGCCUCAGUGAGAGCUCUGGGCAGUGAAAUAAAAGCACCCAUAUGUUAUAUAUGGAGCGGUAAUUUGUGUCAGAAAAAUGGUUGAUAUUAAUAAAGAAGGGGGAGAUUUGGGAAUGUGGCAAUGGGGGUCGGAAAGCCCCGUGGUUGGUGAUAACAUCAGACUCUUAACGAUGAGGCCAUCAGGAAUGUAAAGAGUUUAGAGGAAACAAAGAAGGGGGAUUGAGGCGACGCCCUGCUGGCUGGGGUUGCUUGUUUUCCCCUCUGUUAAGGCAGGGAAGUUGCUGGGGGGGUUGCUGGUUAGAACUGUUAACGUUUAUUGUUUAAUGUUAUAUGAUAAUAAUAUUAUUAGUGUGAUUUCAAGGGUUAACGAAACUCGGGAAAAGCAAUCACGUUUUGUUGCUUUGGGGAACCUUGUGGUGGGCAGAGCAUGUGCAGAAGAAGAGGGAGACGCUCGAAGCCGCUCCUGCAGUCUGGAACAAAAGCCGCAGACAAAGCAAUCUGAAGUGAGCGAUGAUGAAGGUUUGAAAACAGCAGGAAAACCAUUUUUGUUGCGGACCCCAACGGCAAGGUAACGCCUAAUUACCACUACAAAAACCUUUCUAUGCAAAGAUAAGCGGACAGUCGUCAGCACUACUGGAACUAAAAGCCCGCUAAGUCUUUGUAAUUGGUUUAAUUUGGUUUAUUUUACUCUGUCUAGCAGAUAAAAGGAGCCGGCCCCGCAGCCCAGCCUGUUCAGAAAGCACUUGUGGUCGCCACGCGCGGACACACACGGUGCCGCUUUUCCCACAACAGCAAGCGUUAAAAAAACUAUUUAUAAAGGCAUUCAAAAAUGCGCCGCUGGCCUCGGGGGUGCCGCGGGGAGCCGCCGUGGGGGGAGCAGGGCCUGAGGCAGGGCACGGGUCGGGGGGCAGCACCCGCAGCAACGCGGCUGUGCCCACCUGGGUGCGGGGCUCGGUGAGGGUGGUCCCGCAGCAGCCCGCAGUGCGUGGCACGGAGUUCUCAGUUGUCAUUUUCCGUGCUGCAGGGGGGUUCCGUACCUCCCUCCAAAAACUGACUCUGAAAAUCCUGGGUUUACAGUCUGGGUUUUGGAGAUAAAGUCGUAUUUGUGCAAUUCACUUUGAAACGCCUGUUAUGUGGUUCAUUCUCCACAGAUUCCUGUAUCUCGGCUGCUUGGCCUGAGAUGUGCAUGGGUUUACAGCCUGUCCACUCGGCUCCUUUGUCCUCCUUUUUUAGAAUCUUAUGUAAAUGAUAAAUACCCUUGGCCCAACGUACAUGUAUGUACCCAUAGAACCUCCUUAAAAGCAGACUAAUGUUUUGAGGAUUUACAGAUAACAUUUUAAAAUAGUUGUAUGUACCCUAUACUAUCUAACGAUGGCAUAUAUGAAAUAGUAAUUACCAGAGUAACAAUGCCACAUUCAGCAGUUAGCCCCACAAGCUGCCAACCCCACAGAUUUUUAAAGAAUUUUCGGUGCCUGGAGAUGCAAAUAAUUUGUGAAUGUGAGUUUCAAGCCAUCUUGAAACAAGGUUAGGGAAGGCA